rnacentral:rRNA from 1 species
ACGCUCGACACCUACGGGAAGGCAGCAGUGGGGAAUAUUGCACAAUGGGGGAAACCCUGAUGCAGCGACGCCGCGUGGAGGAAGAAGGUCUUCGGAUUGUAAACUCCUGUUGUUGGGGAAAAAGAGGAUGGUACCCAACAAGGAAGUGACGGCUAACUACGUGCCAGCAGCCGCGGUAAUCUGAGCGGGCUGGCAAGGC